rnacentral:rRNA from 1 species
UACGGGGGGGCAAGCGUUGUUCGGAAUUACUGGGCGUAAAGGGCUUGUAGGUGGCCAACUAAGUCAGACGUGAAAUCCCUCGGCUUAACCGGGGAACUGCGUCUGAUACUGGAUGGCUUGAGUGUGGGAGAGGGAUGCGGAAUUCCAGGUGUAGCGGUGAAAUGCGUAGAUAUCUGGAGGAACACCGGUGGCGAAGGCGGCAUCCUGGACCAAAACUGACACUGAAAAGCGAAAGCCAGGGGAGCAAACGGG